rnacentral:lncRNA from 1 species
UUAUUUCUUUUCUUGCCUGUAGGUUGUAAAAAUAUUUCAUGAUUUAAGCAAAAACAAAAACAAUAUUUCAUGAUAAGAAAAUGGCAGAGUGUAAUUAACGAACACGAAAAACAAGGAAGAAAUUUUACCAUAGCUUCUUGCGCUAAAACAUCUACUACACUUAAUAGUUUUUUAAAUGAAAGAUUGUUAUUGAUUUAACGUUAUAAUUGAACGACUGUGUACGUAGAUUAAGCUAAACUGAUGAUGGAGAGGGCCGGAAAGUGGUGAUGUUUCCAACCAUUACAUUCUACUGUGAUAAGGAAAUCGAUUCCUCUAAAAGACCAAACAGUGGCUUAGAGUCUCCCCAUAACGUGACAUAAGUAUAUCCAAAUUAAGUAUAUAGUUUGAUCAUGGACAUCCACGAAGGUCUAAUUAGGAUUUAAUUUAUACUUUAGUCACGUUGCAGUGAUGAAAUGCCUUCAUUAAUAGAGCUUAGGUUUUUUUUUUUUUUUGAUCAAAUAGAGCUUAGGUUUAUUGUCUCUCUUUAGACCAUGAGUCAGAGGCCUGGACAUUUCAGGUAUCGGUUCGAUAUUUCGGAUAGUUCGGAUAGAGGAUAGAGGAUCCAUUUAGUACUUGACAUAUUUUCGGGUUUAGUUCGGUUCGGAUAGUAAAUGUAGGAACCGGAAAAUAUCCGAAAAAAGUUUGGUUCUCAUUUGGAUCCGGUUCGGAUAGUUCGGGUAGUUCGGAUAAUUUGGAUAAAAUAUCAGUUAUUUAGGGUAAAAUAUCAAAUAAUUAGGAUGAUUUAGAUAAAAAAUUUGGAUAUUUCGGAUUACUUUGAAUAUUUCGGAUAAAACUAUCCGGAUAGUUUAGAUACUUUAUAAUAAUUUAGUUAUUCUCAACUAUUUUCAGAUACUUUUAAUAGAAUUUUAAAUUAAAAAUACACAUUUAGUGAUGUUAUAUGUAUAUAUAAUUAAUAUUUUUAUAUAUUCAGGUACCCGUUCGGUUCUC